rnacentral:lncRNA from 1 species
ACAGGACUACUUAAUCCUUAGAGGAUGUACAGCCGAACAAGGUGACUAGCCAUCGGCCAGGAGAGCUUAUUAAAAGAUUUCAUUUCUUGGGCAUCCAGGGAAGAGUCAAAACAAAAACUAAUGUUACCUUGCAAAAGAUGACAAAGCUUUUGAAAGUCAAAAUUCCCAAGCCAGUGACCAUUGGAGAAGCCUGGCCAGCAUUUUGUUGAAUAUUGUGUCCUGAGUCUCUAACCUGCUACCCUCUGAACUGAGACCUCAAGUGCCGGCCCUGAAAAGGAAGAAAAAGGAUGACUUGGAAGCAGGGCUGCGGAGAAGCACCUCAGCAGGCAGAGGCCAGGUUUUGAUCGCAUGCUGCUCUGUGUCCUGGGGCCUUUGCAAACCAACCCAGCACUACAGAAAAACAAGUCCAGCAAUGAAA